UUCUGCCCCACGGGGAAGGAUGAGAAGCUUCGACUAAGGUUCGACUCGAGCGAAGCGAGAGAACGUUGCCGCAGGCAACGGCCCGAAGGGCGAGGCGCUUUAGCGCCGAGUAAUCCUUCCCCCACCACUG
rnacentral:sRNA from 2 species